AAACCUAUGGGCCCAGGCUGUUAGGGCCACCAAAUGAUAUUACAAAUACUGAGUGUCUGGUUAGGAGAAACAAAUAUAAUGUACCCACAGGGAGUAGCGCCAUUUUAAUAUAAAUUGCCAAAAAUCCCUGAGAUAAGUCAUGCAGAAUAUGUAAAAAGGUUUUUGGAUUUUCAGCCAAUCAGAAAGCAGCACGACUCAAAUAGAACUCCCGUGAGGUCACACAUGUGAUGUCAUCACCAUUGUCAUCAGUGAGGGGCCUAAACUGUAGGAACCUAGGAAUACACAUUCAUACCCGCCUGUGACUGAUGCACACCUUCCAGGCUGUGGGGCAGCACAUACACCGACACUUUGCCCAAAUUCUAGAGGUAACCUCCUUUAGUAUGCCCAGAGGAAGGGCAGUACAGUAGCCAUGGAUUCCCUACAGGUUUCCUCCCCUCUGGAGGUUUUUCCUGUCCUGAGUUAGUUACUGUCCGCUCUUUGUGAGUGAUGGAGGUUACAUAAAAUCCCUACACAAACAUUUUUGUAAAUAAUAAAUAAAGUUCCCUUUGUUUAAACUGUU